CCUUCGAAGAAGAGGGGGUAUAUUGCUUUGCACAUGUCGGUCGGUCUGUCGGUCGGUCCGUCCACCAGGUGGUUUCCGGAUGAUAACUCAAGAACGCUUAGGCCUAGGAUCAUAAAACUUCAUAGGUACAUUGAUCAUGACUCGCAGAUGACCCCUAUUGAUUUUGAGGUCACUAGGUCAAAGGUCAAGGUCACUGUGACCCGAAAUAGUAAAAUGGUUUCCGGAUGAUAACUCAAGAACGCUUAUGCCUAGGAUCAUGAAACUUGAUAGGUACAUUGAUCAUGACUGGCAGAUGACCCCUAUUGAUUUUCAGGUCACUAGGUCAA